GUCUCUGUGGCGCAAUCAGUUUAGCGCGUUCGGCUGUUAACCGAAAGGUUGGUGGUUCAAGCCCACCAGGGACG
rnacentral:tRNA from 1 species